rnacentral:tRNA from 2 species
GUAGUCGUGGCCGAGUGGUUAAGGCGAUGGACUUGAAAUCCAUUGGGGUUUCCCCACGCAGGUUCAAAUCCUGCCGACUACG